UACGGGGGGGGGCAAGCGUUGUUCGGAAUUACUGGGCGUAAAGGGCUCGCAGGCGGCCGACUAAGUCAGACGUGAAAUCCCUUGGCUUAACCAAGGAAUGGCGUCUGAUACUGGACGGCUUGAAUCCGGGAGAGGGAUGUGGAAUUCCAGGUGUAGCGGUGAAAUGCGUAGAUAUCUGGAGGAACACCGGUGGCGAAGGCGGCAUCCUGGACCGGUAUUGACGCUGAGGAGCGAAAGCCAGGGGAGCAAACGGG
rnacentral:rRNA from 1 species